rnacentral:antisense_RNA from 1 species
UUUUUUGGGCGGACUGAGCGGGGAGCCGCAAGGCUCGCCGGUCCUGGUGCCGGUCUACCAACCCGUUCAGCCCGCCCU